AGUCAACCUAACUCGUGGACGUGGAUAACCUCGGGAAACUGAGAAUAAACCACGAUAGAUCAUAGUGCCUGGAAUGGCUUAUGGUCCAAACAGUUUACUGCCAUGGGAUGGGACUGCGGCCUAUCAGCUUGUUGGUGAGGUAAUGGCCCACCAAGGCGAUUACAGGUACGGGCUCUGAGAGGAGAAGCCCGGAGAUGGGUACUGAGACACGGACCCAGGCCCUAUGGGGCGCAGCAGGCGAGAAACCUUAGCAAUGUGCGAAAGCACGACUGGGUCAGUCCGAGUGAUUCCUGAUAAAGGAGUCUUUUGCCUGUCCUAAAAGCACAGGUGAAUAAGGGGUGGGCAAGUCUGGUGUCAGCCGCCGCGGUAAUACCAGCACCUCGAGUGGUCAGGACGUUUAUUGGGCCUAAAGCAUCCGUAGCCGGCUUUGCAAGUCUUCGGUUAAAUCCACCUGCUCAACAGAUGGGCCGCUGGAGAUACUACAGAGCUAGGGAGUGGGAGAGGCAGACGGUAUUCAGUGGGUAGGGGUAAAAUCCUCUGAUCCAUUGAGGACCACCAGUGGCGAAGGCGGUCUGCCAGAACACGUUCGACGGUGAGGGAUGAAAGCUGGGGGAGCAAACCGGAUUAGAUACCCGGGUAGUCCCAGCUGUAAACGAUGCAAACUCGGUGAUGCAUUGGC
rnacentral:rRNA from 1 species